GUGUCAGCCGCCGCGGUAAUACGGAGGGUGCAAGCGUUAAUCGGAAUCACUGGGCGUAAAGCGCGCGUAGGCCGCCUUCUAAGUCGGACGUGAAAGCCCUCGGCUCAACCGAGGAACUGCGUUCGAAACUGGGAGGCUUGAGUCCUGGAGAGGGUGGCGAAAUUCCGGGUGUAGGAGUGAAAUCCGUGGGUAUCCGGAGGAACACCGGUGGCGAAGGCGGCCACUUGGGCAGGUACUGACGUCGAGGCGCGAAAGAGUGGGGAGAAAAAAG
rnacentral:rRNA from 1 species